GCCCCUGUGGUGGAAUGGUAGACGCGGCAGACUCAAAAUCUGUUGCCCGCAAGGGCGUGCUGGUUCAAGUCCGGCCAGGGGCACCA
rnacentral:tRNA from 2 species